AAACAGCUGGACUCUGCCUGUACGUCUUUGACUCAAGUCACUCUGUUUGACACGUAAACUGCUGCAAAACAUGGCCACCAACAUGCCGCAGGAAUUUGAAUACACUGAUGGUGCUUUAGAAGCACAAAAACAAAGAGAACGGGCCCAACAAAUGAAAGAGAACCCAGAAACUCUUUAUACAUGUGAAAACGUUCUCAUGUUUCACGCUGAAGAUCCAGAAAUCUGGAUAGAGAGUUUAACAGAGGAAUUUGGAAGAAACCCUAAAAUAACUGACAAGGAGCAUAUAUGGAAAACAAACGAUGCAGGCACCAUUCAGUUAUUUCCUACGACCGGGAAGUGUGUGAUAUAUGGGAAGGAUGAAGAAAGACAAGGAUUUUCAAACAGGUUUGGAGCGCUUUUGGAUCGUGUUGGAAACAUCCGGAAUCGAACAAAUAACACAAAUUAGACAACAAGUUGAAAGCCAGUGACGACAAAAACAACCCCCCUUAAGAUAAUUGUAGAGAUAAAAAAA